GUGUCAGCCGCCGCGGUAAUACGGGGGGGGCAAGCGUUGUCCGGAAUUAUUGGGUGUAAAGGGUGCGUAGGCGGAAUGGUAAGUCAGAAGUGCAAUACUCGCGCUUAACGCGGGAGCUGCUUUUGAUACUGCUGUUCUUGAGUGCAGAAAAGGGAAGUAGAAUUCUCGGUGUAGCGGUGAAAUGCGUAGAUAUCGAGAAGAAUACCAGUAGCGAAGGCGGCUUCCUGGUCUGUAACUGACGCUGAGGCACGAAAGUGUGGGUAGCAAACAGGAUUAGAAACCCCCGUAGUCC
rnacentral:rRNA from 1 species